CCUUGACACUACACAGGAGUACUGACACAGGAGCCGGUUGAAGGGAUCGCUGAUCCACCUCUGCAGUGAGCCUCUAGGACAAAGUCACGUUACAUCUGGGAGGGGAGGGAGGAAAUUAAAGCUAAUGACUGCACAGGGGGCAACCCCAUUCAGGCUGUGGAGUUAUUAAUGCCUGGUUGAUUCUGAAUAUAAAGAGGGAGGAGUGUUGGAAUGGGGGCUGGAACCACUGUCAGUGGUGUGGUGGACUCUGUUAGCUGAUACAUCGGCAGUACAACUUACUGUGGAAGUGUUUUCUACAUUAUGAAUCACUGGCUGGAGGAUGCACGAGGAGAUGAUGUUACCCGGUUACCAAAUUAUUGGAUUACACUUCUACUAAGAUACAAGUCAACACAAGUAGACCUAGUCCUUUUAGAAUUCUAAAAUAUCUAACGAGACAAUAUGUCCACAGAACACAUUGAGGGCACACUUCCUUCAGCCCACAUGGGCCUACAGCUGUUUCCUUACCCUGAGAACUGUUACCCAUCCAUGUCGUGGUCACCUGACUCCAACAGUAGUAUUUCCAACGUGAGUGACAGAGAAGCCAGCAGAUCCUCUGACAGAAACGCGUUGGACUGUGUUAACGAACGUUCCCCGCUGGAUAACUACUAUAAUGCCAAUUCAGCAGCAACAAACACGUUUAAUGUCUCACCUGUAAACAGCACAAAUGGAGCUGGCCUGUUGAGCCAAAUGAGUUUAUCUGGUGCUUCCCAUCGGGAGUACACUGCAGAUGACUGCUGCUUUCUGAGUUCUGGAGAAAUGGUCAUGAGGGGCAACAGUUUCUUUCUGGACGACCAGUCACCCAUAGUAGUCUCUUCCUUGGACAAAUCAUGCAACUACCCGCCAGAAUGUCCGGCAGUCCGUGCUGAAUUCAGUCUGCAGGCGAUCACAGAAAGAGACACUGACGAGAAUACAGGCCGUUCCUGUCUUGGUAUGACUGAGGAAAAUGAUAUUGCAACAUCCCCCUCUCGUAUAGCUCUGCCAAGUGAGAAUGAAAAGGGGCUUUUGAUGACUUUUACCAUAUGUGAAAGAUCUGCACAGUGUGAAAAAGAGCCUAUGGUUACAAGUGCUGAAACAGAGCUGUUGCCUUAUUUCUCAGAAAGAGUUACACCAGAACUAGACAUGACUUUUGUCUUCACUCCAUCAGUUAUGCAAAAUCGUGUUAAUAAUAGUAAUAAUAAUAAUAAUCAGACUUCGACUCCAGUACCAGUCACUGGAAAGAAGAUAUCCCGCCUCCUUUCCUUCUCUGAGUCUCCUGGCAUUGGAAGUGCAAACAGACCAGGACUCGACCCUGUUACACAGAAGCAAAUGUCGGUCACUCGUGAGCAGUGUUUGGUUGCAAGACAGCCGCCUUCAGCAGGCAAAGACGAUACAAUGGAAGUCAAGAAGUCAGACUUCUGCAAUGUAAAACCUAAAUUAGUGACCAGAUCACGCCGUCACGUGGCAGUGCCAGGUUCACAACACAAAAAACAAGCCAAUGUGAACAAUAAAUGUACUGUAUCACGCAGAGAAACAACAAUCACAGUUGGUUCUCCCAAUACCAGCGGCAGUGCUGCUGUCGAUGGACACUGCCCAGCCGUAAGUGGCCACAUCUCCUCCAGCUCUGAGCAUGCGGUCUCAAGCCAAGCACCAGGCAGCUCGGUACAGAAUGCUGGCUGUCUCCCAUCAUUCAAGAAAUCCUUCAAAGUUAAAGGUGGCCAAAUGGAUUCUAAACCAACUCCAAAGAAUGGUGUGUCAAACAAAAUCUACAUCAAGUCAAGCUCAGCUUUAGACCAGCUCAGGUCUUCUGCCCGCACAACACAGCCUCAACGCUCUGCUGAGAGCUGUUCAUUGACAUCCAGGCUGCCUAAGAAGAAGAGAACCACCUCAGCUAGUGGUGCCAUUCAAAAAUCAGACACCCUGAAGGGCCACACCAAACCAGGGAAUCUCAAGGGCUCUUCACAGAAUAAACGGGCCGUACAGGCUGAAGAAACAAACAGCUGUACUCCCCCAACAGAGGUUCGAAAGCCCAGCCUGUGUGCUUGGUCCAGUAAAUUGACAACAGCCGGAGUCUCAAGGGAUGACUACAAAAGCAGGUUUCAAAGGCGAACAUUAGGCACAACACCAUGUUCACAAUCACCAGCUGCCAGCUCCAGAUCAUGCAUUGUGAGGCAACAACAAGGAAGAAGCAGCAUGUCUAAAGCUGAAAGGAGCGCUCACUCCCAGCAGCCAACCAGUGCAAGUAUUCAGAGAACGGAGGCAUUACAUAGACCUGCACCCUCAGCCAGCAUUAAACCCCAGCUUCGUGGAUCUCGGCUUCCUCAGACUCCCGCUCGCCCCUCUCUAAUAGGCUCUCCCCGCAAGAUUCUGGGGCUGUCUAAAUGUCUCACUAAUUCCAGUCCUCUCACAGGAAAAACACCAGUUUCUGGGGCCGCUGUACAUAAACCAACCCAAUUAAAAUCUAUAGGCCUGAAAGCAAGGCUCAUCUCCAGGAACAACACUGGACCAUCUUUGACCACAGCGUGCACGUCUGCUGCAACUACAGGCAAAGGAGCAUCAGGCUCUAAAGUCAGCC
ensembl:lncRNA